rnacentral:misc_RNA from 1 species
GAAAUGCGAUACGUAAUGUGAAUUGCAGAAUUCAGUGAAUCAUCGAAUCUUUGAACGCACCUUGCGCCCCUUGGCAUUCCGAGGGGCACACCCGUUUGAGUGUCGUGAACAUCCUCAACCUGCUUGGUUUUACCGAACCAAGUAGGCUUGGAAUUUGGAGGUUUUCUGCUGGCCUCCUCUGAAGCCAGCUCCUCUUAAAUCUAUCAGUGGGAUCCGCUUUGCUAGAUCCUCGACGUUGAUAAGAUGUUUCUACGUCUUGGGUUUUGCUCGGGAAGGACCUGCUUCUAACCGUCCCAUCAGGGACAUCGUUCGAGCCGAUCGCCCUUCACGGGGUGGGAAGCUUUUCGACCCAUGAAACCUUGACCUCAAAUCGGGUGAGACUACCCGCUGAACUUAA